GUCGUGCUAUUUGUAGCAGUUUUUAAGGCAAAAGUGGUCUCUCAAUACAGGUUUUGUCAUGAGGGCUACCCAGUGAAUUAUCUGUGCAGUGUGAUACGGCUGGGUGUACAGGUUACUUCACAGCUGCCUCAACAUACUCAAGAAAUGGGUGCAGAACCUGCGUAAUGCCCACAAACUUUGACUACCACAGCACCUCCAGAAAGUAAAGGCAUAUGUGUCACAUGGGAUUUUUAAAGGCAUUCACAGUAUAUAAUACCUUGUAUGAACUGUUGUUGAUCUAAGCAGCCUCUACAGUACACUCUCAGAAAUUAAAACUUGUCAGGGAACUGUGAUAA